CUCUUUUUUAACCUUAAUUUUCAGGAUUUGGUGCUGGCUUGCCAAGGACUGUCCCAUUGUUCGUGACUGAGCACAGGGAGCAGCCUGCAGCCAAGCUGCCAUGUUAAGGAAAUUGCCUCGAUUUCACUGAUUCUUUGCUAUGAAGUUCAACCAACAGCCACUGUGUUCCUGGGGAAAUGGAUGCUCUAUGGCCAUUACAGGAUGACAG
rnacentral:lncRNA from 1 species